rnacentral:rRNA from 1 species
UACAGAGGGGGCGAGCGUUGUUCGGAAUUACUGGGCGUAAAGGGCGCGUAGGCGGCCCGCUAAGUCGAACGUGAAAUCCCCAGGCUCAACCUGGGAACUGCGUCCGAUACUGGCAGGCUUGAAUCCGGGAGAGGGAUGUGGAAUUCCAGGUGUAGCGGUGAAAUGCGUAGAUAUCUGGAGGAACACCGGUGGCGAAGGCGGCAUCCUGGACCGACACUGACGCUGAGGAGCGAAAGCCAGGGAGCAAACGGG